UACGUAGGUGGCAAGCGUUGUCCGGAUUUAUUGGGUUUAAAGGGUGCGUAGGCGGCCCCGUAAGUCAGUGCUGAAAUAUCCCGGCUUAACCGGGAGGGUGGCAUUGAUACUGCAGGGCUUGAGUGAAGUCGAGGUAGGCGGAAUUGACGGUGUAGCGGUGAAAUGCUUAGAUAUCGUCAAGAACACCGAUAGUGAAGACAGCUUACUAGGCUUAUACUGACGCUGAGGCACGAAAGUGUGGGGAUCAAACAGG
rnacentral:rRNA from 1 species